UGGGUUGACUCACUGUGAAAGACAGA
rnacentral:piRNA from 1 species